AUGCAUCGCGCCAUGCGGCUGCGCUGCCUCCUGCGCCCUCCGCCGUCUUGCGGUACCGUGCCCCUCGCCACCCCCGCGACCGUCGGCGGUGGCGCCGGGAGAUUUGGCGCGCCCGACGGGGCACGGAGGCUGGGUGCGCCGCGCCUGCCCUUCGGCGAAGGGGGGCGGCUCUGCCGGUUCUACAGCUCGAAGGAGGGUGUCGGGAGCGCGGAGACGGCUGCGGGGAGUGGCGGCGGCGGCAGCAACCAGCAGGAGCACGCGCGGCUCGGGGAGAAGGACCAACAGGAGUGGCUUAACGGCGAGCGGUUCGUCACCGGCUGCAAGAGGCGGGAGUCGCCGUUCCUCACCAAACGGGAGCGCUUCCGCAACGAGUUUCUGCGCCGCGCCGUGCCUUGGGAGAAGAGCAGCCUCACGUGGAGCAACUUCCCGUACUACGUCGAUAAGAAUGCGAAGCAGCUGCUGACCGAGUGUGUGGCAUCACACCUGCGGAACAAGGAUGCUACUUUGGAGUACGGUUCUCGGCUGCAGUCGUCCGGUGGGAGGAUAUUGCUCCAGAGCUUGUCAGGAACUGAGCUUUACCGGGAGAGAUUGGUAAGAGCGAUUGCUCACGAGUUACGCGUACCAUUGUUGGUUCUGGACAGCAGUGUUCUAGCUCCAUAUGAUAAUGGUGAAGAUUGUUCAGAGAGUGAGGAAGAGAAUGGUCAACCGGAGUCAGAAGAUGAAGGCUCAGAAUCAGAAGGGGAAGAUGAAGAUUAUAAUGAAGCUAAGUCUGGUGAAAGUGACGACGACGAAGUUGGCAAAUCAGUGGAGAACCUCAAGAAGUUAGUUCCGCGCACUCUUGAGGAAUUUGCCAAGGGAGUUGUUAGUGCGCAAGAAAAUUCUUCAGCAGCAGAAGAAUCCACCGCUGAGUCGCCUGAAGAAGAGAAAAGGCCUCUCCAAAAAGGUGAUAGGGUGAAGUAUGUUGGAGAGUCAGUGCUUGUUGAAGCAGAUCACAGGGUCAUUUUGGGGAAAAUACCAACUCAAGAGGGAGCAGCAGAAGCCUUUACCUUUAUUAGCGGCAGAACUUUAUCAAAUGGACAGCGUGGAGAGAUAUACGAGAUCAAUGGUGAUCAAGUGGCUGUUUUAUUUCACCCUCCUGAGGAGAAGCUGGAUGAUGGUAAAAAUAAUGAAGCUAACAAAGAGCAAGAUGCUAAACCAUCAGUUUGCUGGGUUGACACUCAGGAUAUUGUGCUUGACCAUGACACUGAGGCGGAAGAUUGGCAUAUCGCGAUGGAAGCAUUUUGUGAGGCACUGCCAUCUCUUCAACCAGCCAUUGUUUACUUUCCGGACAGUUCACAAUGGCUUUCUAGGGCAGUUCCAAGAUCAAAUCGCAGAGAGUUUAUCGAAAAGGUAGAGGAAAUGUUUGACCAGCUUAAUGGACCUUUAGUGUUGAUAUGUGGGCAGAACAUACUCGAGGCAGCACCCAAGGAUAAAGAUCCAAAGGCGCUGAUGUUUCACAAUCUCUCUCGCCUGUCUCCACUGACAUCAUCCUUGAAGAGGCUGGUAGGGGGACUACAAGGGCGGAAGCCUUCAAAGUCCAAUGGCAUAACGAAACUCUUCGGAAAUAAAUUCUAUAUUCCUUUACCAAAGGAUGAUGAGCAACUGAGAGUUUUCAAUAACCAGAUUGCAGAGGACAAAAAAAUAAUCGUUUCAAGGCAUAACCUUGUAGAAUUGCACAAGGUGCUUGAAGAUCAUGGGCUAUCAUGUGAAAAUCUGUUGCAUGUGAAGUUAGAGAGCAUUAUUCUGACGAAGCAAAGAGCGGAGAAGGUCAUUGGAUGGGCUAGAAGUCACUAUUUGUCGUCAGCGAUUAAUCCUUCCAUAAAGGGUGACAAGCUAGUCAUUCCCCGUGAGAGUCUGGACCUAGCAAUCGAGAGGCUAAGGGAGCUGGAGGCUUCAACUAAGUCACUCUCUGAAAACAUGAAGAUGUUGGCAAAAGAUGAAUUUGAGCGCAAUUUCAUAUCAGCAGUUGUACCUCCCCAUGAAAUUGGAGUUAAAUUUGAAGAUAUUGGCGCUCUUGAGGAUGUCAAGAAGACACUGGAUGAACUUGUUACUCUUCCAAUGAGGAGACCAGAGCUUUUCUCGCGUGGGAACUUGCUAAGGCCUUGCAAAGGAAUAUUGCUUUUUGGGCCUCCUGGAACUGGAAAAACUCUUUUGGCAAAGGCACUUGCGACAGAAGCUGGAGCAAAUUUUAUCAGCAUAACUGGUUCUAGUCUCACGUCGAAGUGGUUUGGAGACGGUGAGAAGCUCACCAAAGCCCUUUUCUCGUUUGCAAGUCGGCUAGCUCCUGUUAUCAUAUUUGUGGAUGAGGUUGACAGCUUACUUGGUGCAAGGGGUGGUGCAAUGGAGCAUGAAGCAACGAGAAGGAUGCGCAAUGAAUUUAUGGCAGCUUGGGAUGGUCUAAGGUCCAAAGACAGUCAAAGGAUCCUUAUUCUUGGUGCAACAAACCGUCCAUUUGAUCUAGAUGACGCUGUAAUACGUCGUUUGCCUAGGAGGAUAUACGUGGACCUUCCAGAUGCGCAGAAUAGGAUGAAAAUUCUCAAGAUAUUACUUGCCAAAGAAAACAUAGAAUCUGAAUUUGGAUUUGACGAACUAGCCGAUGCAACAGAAGGUUACUCUGGGAGUGACUUGAAGAACCUAUGCGUAGCUGCAGCAUACAGGCCAGUUCAUGAACUGCUAGAAGAAGAAAAGAAGGGGGCUGUGGGCAGUACGAAAACUUCUUUGAGGUCCUUAAAGUUGGAUGACUUUGUCCAAGCGAAAGCCAAGGUGAGCCCAUCUGUUGCCUUCGAUGCCACAAGCAUGAACGAGCUAAGAAAAUGGAACGAGCAGUACGGAGAAGGCGGCAGCAGGAGCAAAUCGCCAUUCGGGUUCGGCAGCUAA
rnacentral:rRNA from 1 species